rnacentral:miRNA from 1 species
GUUGUUCAAAACAGGAGCGAACAAUGUUGUGCUGCACCCCGUGAACAAUAUUGUUAACAAGUUGUUGAACCAUCAAUGUUCUUGCAACUUGUUGACAAUCAUGUUAACAACUUGCAACAGUACUGAUGGUUAAACAACUUGUUAACAAUAUUGUUCACGGGGUGCAGCACAACAUUGUUCACUCCUGUUUUGAACAAC